rnacentral:piRNA from 1 species
UCACAGCAUGAUAGGACAGCCUGGC